rnacentral:rRNA from 1 species
GACGAACCGUACAAACGUUAUUCGGAAUCACUGGGCUUAAAGGGUGCGUAGGCGGCGCGGAAAGUAGGGUGUGAAAUCCCUCGGCUCAACCGAGGAAUUGCGCCCUAAACUACCGUGUUCGAGGGAGAUAGAGGUGAGCGGAACUUAGGGUGGAGCGGUGAAAUGCGUUGAUAUCCUAAGGAACACCGGUGGCGAAAGCGGCUCACUGGAUCUCUUCUGACGCUGAGGCACGAAAGCUAGGGUAGCGAACGGG